GUGCUGCUGCAGCUGGUGUUGUGAAUCAGGCCGAUGGCAGCGCUGCCAGAAACCGGCCAUUUCUCAACACCAGGGCGGCCGCGCAUCACU
ensembl:miRNA